UGUUACUGUGGGUCUCUAUGGGUCUCUCUAUGGGUUGCUAUGGGUCCCUGUGGGUCUCUAUGGGUCUCUGUGGGUCUCUGUGUUGCUAUGGGUCUCUCUAUGGGUCGCUAUGGGUCCCUAUGGGUCCCGCUAUGGGUCGCUGUGGGUCUCAGUGCAUUGCUGUGGAUUUCUAUGGGGCUCUUUGGGUCGCUGUGGGUCACUGUGGGUCUUUGUGUUGCUAUGGGUCGCUGUGGGUCACUGUGGGUCACUAUGGAUUGCUAUGGGUCUCUGUGUCGCUAUGGGUCGCUGUGGGUCCCUGUGUGGGUUGCUAUGGGUCGCUGUGGGUCACUAUGGGUCACUAUGGAUUGCUGUGGGUCUCCGUGUGUCGCUAUGGGUCGCUGUGUGUGUUGCUAUGGGUCACUGUGUGUCUCUGUGGGUCGCUGUGGGUCACUCUGGGUUGCUCUGGGUCCCUGUGUGGGUCGCUAUGGGUCUCUCUGUGGGUCGCUGUGGGUCUCCAUGUGUUGCCAUGGGUCGCUAUGGGUCGCUGUGGGUCGCUAUGGAUUGCAGCGGGUCUCUCUGUGGGUCGCUAUGGGUCACUAUGGGUCCCUCUGUGGGUCGCUGUGGGUCUCUCUGUGGGUCUCUAUGGGUCCCUGUGUUGCUAUGGGUCUCCUCUAUGGGUUUCUGUGGGUCUCUGUGUGUCGCUAUGGGUCGCUAUGGGUCCCUGUGUGGGUCGCUAUGGGUCACUGGGGGUCACUGUGGAUUGCUGUGGGUCGCUGUGGGUCUCUCUAUGGGUCUCUGUGGGUCGCUGUGGGUCUCUGUGGGUCUCUCUAUGGGUCGCUGUGGGUCGCUGUGGGUCGCUGUGGGUCACUAUGGGUCUCUAUGGGUCUCUCUAUGGGUCGCUGUGGGUCUCACUGUGGGUCGCUGUGGGUCUCUAUGGGUCUCUAUGGGUCUCAGUGGGUCUCUAUGGGUCUCAGUGUGCUGCUAUGGGGCACUGUGUGUCCCUAUGGGUCUCAGUGGGUCCCUAUGGGUCUCGGUGUGCCGCUAUGGGGCGCUGUGUGCCUCCCCCCACAGGGCCCGCGCUGCUCCCGCUGCCGCCCGCUGUUUGUGGGGCCGAGCCGUGGGGCAGCCCCACGGUGCCGCCCGUGCCGCUCGUUCUGCAUGGGCCGGGCCCACGUGUGUGUGGGGCGAGCGGAGCUGAUGCGAGCGCGCAGGGACCCCACGCGGUACCCACUGCAUCCAGCGCGGGUAUGUGGGGCGCCCCACGGCGCC
rnacentral:lncRNA from 1 species